AGGACGAACGCUGGCGGCGUGCUUAACACAUGCAAGUCGAGCGGAAAGGCCCUUCGGGGUACUCGAGCGGCGAACGGGUGAGUAGCACGUGAGUAAUCUGCCCUUAGCUCUGGGAUAGCUCCGGGAAACCGGGAUUAAUACCAGAUAUGACCACUUUAGACAUCUUUUGUGGUGGAAAGAAUUUCGGCUGGGGAUGAACUCGCGGCCUAUCAGCUUGUUGGUGAGGUAAUGGCUCACCAAGGCGACGACGGGUA
rnacentral:rRNA from 1 species